AUUGAACGCUGGCGGCAGGCUUAACACAUGCAAGUCGAGCGGGGAAAGGUAGCUUGCUACCUGACCUAGCGGCGGACGGGUGAGUAAUGCUUAGGAAUCUGCCUGUUAGUGGGGGACAACGUUCCGAAAGGAACGCUAAUACCGCAUACGCCCUACGGGGGAAAGCAGGGGAUCGUCGGGCCUUGCGCUAAUAGAUGAGCCUAAGUCGGACUAGCUAGUUGGUGGGGUAAAGGCCUACCAAGGCGACGAUCUGUAGCGGGUCUGAGAGGAUGAUCCGCCACACUGGGACUGAGACACGGCCCAGACUCCUACGGGAGGCAGCAGUGGGGAAUAUUGGACAAUGGGCGGAAGCCUGAUCCAGCCAUGCCGCGUGUGUGAAGAAGGCCUUUUGGUUGUAAAGCACUUUAAGCGAGGAGGAGGCUCCUUUAGUUAAUACCUAAAGAGAGUGGACGUUACUCGCAGAAUAAGCACCGGCUAACUCUGUGCCAGCAGCCGCAGUAACAC
rnacentral:rRNA from 1 species